rnacentral:sRNA from 1 species
AAACGACUGGACGUGACAGUGCCCUGCAGACUGGUUGGAGGUCUCAGGCAGGCCACACACUGAAUCCGUCAAGGUGUUCAACCUGUUUGAAAUGCUCGGUGCUGUAAAGAAAUAGAACUUGAACUUAAAUUUAAUUUAUUUAGUAAGACCAUUUUUAUUUCCUGCAGAAAGGGUACACUCGCCAGCAGUUUUGCCAGGAGAGUACACUGAACAAAGGAGACAGGGUCAUUUAUAACGUGGUGCGUCCACCCUACUGCUGUGUCCGGUUUCCAUUGGCUGGAACGGGACAUCACAUUCUGUAUUUGUCCCCAUUGACUAGCAACAUAGAACUUUUUAAAAGAGGCAAAGGCAGAGGAGAACAAAGGAAGAAGGAAGUAACUUGUGGAAUGCUGAGAAAGGCAGCUUGGAUUAAUUAGGAGAAAGUCAAUUGCACCAGCAAAUGGAAAUCUAGGAAGAAGGAAAUCCAAGCAGUUGUUUGACUACUUAAUUGUCAUUGAUUUUGAAUCGACAUGCUGGAAUGAUGGGAAGCACCACCAUAGCCAGGAAAUAAUUGAAU